GUGGGGAAUUUUGGACAAUGGGGGCAACCCUGAUCCAGCCAUGCCGCGUGCGGGAAGAAGGCCUUCGGGUUGUAAACCGCUUUUGUCAGGGAAGAAAUCCUUUGGGUUAAUACCUCGGAGGGAUGACGGUACCUGAAGAAUAAGCACCGGCUAACUACGUGCCAGCAGCCGCGGUAAUACGUAGGGUGCGAGCGUUAAUCGGAAUUACUGGGCGUAAAGCGUGCGCAGGCGGUUUUGUAAGACAGGCGUGAAAUCCCCGGGCUCAACCUGGGAAUUGCGCUUGUGACUGCAAGGCUGGAGUGCGGCAGAGGGGGAUGGAAUUCCGCGUGUAGCAGUGAAAUGCGUAGAUAUGCGGAGGAACACCGAUGGCGAAGGCAAUCCCCUGGGCCUGCACUGACGCUCAUGCACGAAAGCGUGGGGAGCAAACAGGAUUAGAUACCCCAGUAGUCC
rnacentral:rRNA from 1 species